GAUGAACGCUGGCGGCGUGCCUAAUACAUGCAAGUCGAGCGAACAGACGAGGAGCUUGCUCCUCUGACGUUAGCGGCGGACGGGUGAGUAACACGUGGAUAACCUACCUAUAAGACUGGGAUAACUUCGGGAAACCGGAGCUAAUACCGGAUAAUAUAUUGAACCGCAUGGUUCAAUAGUGAAAGACGGUUUUGCUGUCACUUAUAGAUGGAUCCGCGCCGCAUUAGCUAGUUGGUAAGGUAACGGCUUACCAAGGCAACGAUGCGUAGCCGACCUGAGAAGGUGAUCGGCCACACUGGAACUGGGACACGGUCCAGACUCCUACGGGAGGCAGCAGUAGGGAAUCUUCCGCAAUGGGCGAAAGCCUGACGGAGCAACGCCGCGUGAGUGAUGAAGGUCUUCGGAUCGUAAAACUCUGUUAUUAGGGAAGAACAAAUGUGUAAGUAACUAUGCACGUCUUGACGGUACCUAAUCAGAAAGCCACGGCUAACUACGUG
rnacentral:rRNA from 1 species